GCCUGGGUGGCUCAGUCGGUUGAGCAUCCAACUUUGGCUCAGGUCAUGAUCUCCUGGUUCGUGGGUUUGAGCCCCAUCUGGGGCU
rnacentral:tRNA from 1 species